AUUGAACGCUGGCGGCAGGCCUAACACAUGCAAGUCGGACGGUAGCACAGAGAGCUUGCUCUUGGGUGACGAGUGGCGGACGGGUGAGUAAUGUCUGGGGAUCUGCCCGAUAGAGGGGGAUGACCACUGGAAACGGUGGCUAAUACCGCAUAACGUCGCAAGACCAAAGAGGGGGACCUUCGGGCCUCUCACUAUCGGAUGAACCCAGAUGGGAUUAGCUAGUAGGCGGGGUAAUGGCCCACCUAGGCGACGAUCCCUAGCUGGUCUGAGAGGAGGACCAGCCACACUGGAACUGAGACACGGUCCAGACUCCUACGGGAGGCAGCAGUGGGGAAUAUUGCACAAUGGGCGCAAGCCUGAUGCAGCCAUGCCGCGUGCAUGAAGAAGGCCUUCGGGUUGUAAAGUACUUUCAGCGGGGAGGAAGGCGGUGAGGUUAAUAACCUUGCCGAUUGACGUUACCCGCAGAAGUAGCACCGGCUAACUCCGUGCCAGCCGCCGCCGUAA
rnacentral:rRNA from 1 species